UGUGUCCAUGAGGUAGUGAUGGCGGGGUUAGCGCGUCUCUGUCGCUAGGCGAAGCCUUUCCUCGUGACUUCCGCCCUUGCUGACGCGUGCGAGCCGGGCGAGGCGGAACCACAUCGAGCCGAGACGUGUCAGGAGAAGCCGGGAGGCAUCCGGGCUUCCAGAUCCACUCUGGCGUGUGGCGAAAAGUCCCCGCCUCCAUUGCUUGGGCUAUCUGCCCUGUAAAUUCAUCAAAUGCCUCUAUUUCAGCUGCGAGAGAACGUUUACUUGCUUGGACUCUUCUGUGAAGUCUCGGUGGCAUUGUGGUGUCAAGUUGUUCUCUCGUGGGUGCAGCGAAGAUGGAACACAGUGUAAAGGCCUUAAUAACAAUAUUCUACAGAGGCACCACAGAGACCACCUGCAUCUCUGUGUGGACUGGAUCUGCAGUGCCUCGGACUGGAAGUCUCUGCAAAGAGUGGUGAGGACGGCCGAAAAGAUCAUCAGGACUCCUCUUCCUCCUAUCCAGGAGAUGGCAAAAAGCCGCUGCCUGACCAGGGCUCAGAAAACCUGCAGAGACUCCUCCCACCCCCACCAAGGACUGUUUCCACUGCUGGACUCUGGAAAGAGGUUCCGUAGCAGAACCUCCAGGUUCUGUAACAGCUUCUCCCCUCAGGCCGUAAGACUCUUGAAGGCAUCAUAAUCAAUCACCCCCAAAAAAGGGAUGAAGUGGUUGGAAUAUAAAGACAAUAUAACAUACAUCCAUAAACCUGCAAUAUAUUUAGUAUUUUAUUGAUUUAUAUCUGCACCUUAUUGCUCUUUUAUCGUGCACUACACACAGCUAAUGCAACUUCUUAUCUGUACUGUAAAGUUCACCUUUGAAUGACAAUAAAGGAAGUCUAAGUCCAAGUCUAA